GACGAACGCUGGCGGCGUGCUUAACACAUGCAAGUCGAACGCUGUAGCAAUACAGAGUGGCAGACGGGUGAGUAACGCGUGGGAACAUGCCCUUCGGUUCGGAAUAACUCAGGGAAACUUGAGCUAAUACCGGAUACGCCCUUAGGGGGAAAGAUUUAUUGCCGAAGGAUUGGCCCGCGUCCGAUUAGCUAGUUGGUGAGGUAAUGGCUCACCAAGGCGACGAUCGGUAGCUGGUCUGAGAGGAUGAUCAGCCACACUGGGACUGAGACACGGCCCAGACUCCUACGGGAGGCAGCAGUGGGGAAUAUUGGACAAUGGGCGCAAGCUUGAUCCAGCCAUGCCGCGUGAGUGAUGAAGGCCCUAGGGUUGUAAAGCUCUUUCGCCAGGGACGAUAAUGACGGUACCUGGAUAAGAAGCCCCGGCUAACUUCGUGCCAGCCGCCGCCGUAA
rnacentral:rRNA from 1 species